rnacentral:rRNA from 1 species
UACGAAGGGGGCUAGCGUUACUCGGAUUGACUGGGCGUAAAGGGCGCGUAGGCGGAUAGUACAGUCAGACGUGAAAUUCCUGGGCUCAACCUGGGGGCUGCGUUUGAUACGUGCUGUCUGGAGUUCGGAAGAGGGUCGUGGAAUUCCCAGUGUAGAGGUGAAAUUCGUAGAUAUUGGGAAGAACACCGGUGGCGAAGGCGGCGACCUGGUCCGAUACUGACGCUGAGGCGCGAAAGCGUGGGGAGCAAACAGG